AUUGAACGCUGGCGGCAGGCCUAACACAUGCAAGUCGAACGGUAACAGGAAGCAGCUUGCUGCUUCGCUGACGAGUGGCGGACGGGUGAGUAAUGUCUGGGAAGCUGCCUGAUGGAGGGGGAUAACUACUGGAAACGGUAGCUAACACCGCAUAAUGUCGCAAGACCAAAGAGGGGGACCUUCGGGCCUCUUGCCAUCGGAUGUGCCCAGAUGGGAUUAGCUUGUUGGUGGGGUAACGGCUCACCAAGGCGACGAUCCCUAGCUGGUCUGAGAGGAUGACCAGCCACACUGGGACUGAGACACGGUCCAGACUCCUACGGGAGGCAGCAGUGGGGAAUAUUGCACAAUGGGCGCAAGCCUGAUGCAGCCAUGCCGCGUGUAUGAAGAAGGCCUUCGGGUUGUAAAGUACUUUCAGCGGGGAGGAAGGGAGUAAAGUUAAUACCUUUGCUCAUUGACGUUACCCGCAGAAGAAGCACCGGCUAACUCCGUG
rnacentral:rRNA from 1 species